rnacentral:rRNA from 1 species
UGCUGAAUGGUGGGGAUAAUUUAUCUCUGUGUUGAAGCUAACGCGUUAAGCACUCCGCCUGGGGACUACGGUCGCAAGACUAAAACUCAAAGGAAUUGACGGGGACCCGCACAAGCGGUGGAGCAUGUGGUUUAAUUCGAUGCAACGCGAAAAACCUUACCACUCCUUGACAUGGAGAUUAGAUCCUUYUUAACAGAAGGGCGCAGUUAGGCUGGGUCUCGCACAGGUGCUGCAUGGCUGUCGUCAGCUCGUGUCGUGAGAUGUUGGGUUAAGUCCCGCAACGAGCGUAACCCUCAUCCUUAGUUGCCAGCGGGUAAUGCCGGGUACUUUAAGGAAACUGCCGGUGGUAAACCGGAGGAAGGUGGGGAUGAUGUCAAGUCAGCACGGCCCUUAUGGGGUGGGCUACACACGUGCUACAAUGGUGACUACAAUAGGUUGCAACGCCGCAAGGCUGAGCUAAUCCAUAAAAGUCAUCUCAGUUCGGAUUGUCCUCUGUAACUCGAGGGCAUGAAGUCGGAAUCGCUAGUAAUCGUGGAUCAGCAUGCCACGGUGAAUACGUUCUCGGGUCUUGUACACACUGCCCGUCACGCCAUGGGAAUUGGCUUAACUCGAAGCUGGUGCGCUAACCGAAAGGAAGCAGCCAAAA